rnacentral:rRNA from 1 species
GAACUUGCCCUUUAGACUGGGAUAACAGAGGGAAACUUCUGAUAAUACUGGAUAAGUUAGUAUAUCGCAUGAUAUACAAAUGAAAGCUACGGCACUAAAGGAGAGCUUUGCGUCCUAUUAGCUAGUUGGUAAGGUAAGAGCUUACCAAGGCGAUGAUAGGUAGCCGGCCUGAGAGGGUGGACGGCCACAAGGGGACUGAGAUACGGCCCUUACUCCUACGGGAGGCAGCAGUA